rnacentral:rRNA from 1 species
GACGAACGCUGGCGGCGUGCUUAACACAUGCAAGUCGAACGGAAAGGCCCUGCUUUUGUGGGGUGCUCGAGUGGCGAACGGGUGAGUAACACGUGAGUAACCUGCCCUUGACUUUGGGAUAACUUCAGGAAACUGGGGCUAAUACCGGAUAGGAGCUCCUGCUGCAUGGUGGGGGUUGGAAAGUUUCGGCGGUUGGGGAUGGACUCGCGGCUUAUCAGCUUGUUGGUGGGGUAGUGGCUUACCAAGGCUUUGACGGGUAGCCGGCCUGAGAGGGUGACCGGCCACAUUGGGACUGGGAUACGGCCCAGACUCCUAGGGGGGGGAGCAGGGGGGAAUAUUGCACAAUGGGCGGAAGCCGGAUGCAGAAACGCCGGGGGGGGGAUGACGGCCUUCGGGUUGAAAACCGCUUUCGCCUGUGACGAAGCGUGAGGGACGGUAAUGGGAAAAGAAGCACCGGCUAACUACGU